CGGGGUCCUGGAGGCUCGAGGGGCGCAGAGGAAGAAGGAGGAGCUGGAGGAAGCGAAGGGAAGGGGAGGGGAGCGCAGGGAAGAGGAUUUUCCCAUCUCCUGGUGUUUUUUUUUUUUUUUUUUUUUUUUUUUGGAGGAGGAAGGUUGCUGCUGCUAGUGGCAGCGUUUCCUCCUGCUGGAAGAUGAUAAAUACAUGAGGAGAGAGGCUCUGAGCCUGCUUCUGUGCUGCGGGAGUGUCUCUCUCCCUCCCUCCCCUCUCCCUGCUUCUGUGUGAGUGUGUGUUUGGCUGCCGGGCUGUGUGUGCGUGUACACUGUGUAUAUAUAUCUGAGCUGGGAGGUUAUUGCAAGCUUCUCUCAGCAGCGCUCCUCUGUACAGGAAGACGGGCUCAGCUGCAGUGGUAGCAUCAACAGCAGCAUUAGCGGCACCAACUGCUUUAUUCGCCUUUCUUCCUUCCCUUCAUCUCCAUCUCCCUUUCCCCUCCCUCCUCCCACGUUUUUAGGGGAUUGAUCUUCAUUUUUUUUUUAUUAUUAUUUAUUUUUCUACUCUACAAUCCUUGUUAUUUGAUACUUCGUGGCUUUUUUUUUUUUUUCUUCUUUUUUUCCUUUCCCCCUUUCUCUGAGAAGGAGGCACAGAAAUAAACACGCACAAACACAGAGAAAUAAGGGAAAGAAAAGUACCGGGACUUAUCCUGCUGCUGCAAACCCAAAGAUAGCAGACGAAGAGGGGGUUUGGCUUCUACCCCAAGGUAAAGCCCUGCCCCCUUUACCUCCUCGACACCUCCUCCGAGGAAGAGAAGGAGAGAGAGAGAAGGGGGCCAAAGUGGAGAAAAGCAGGUCUUCUGCGGCUGGCAUUUGGAGUACAGGGAGCCAGGAAGUGAAGGAUGGUUGUGGUUACCCGAGCUGGCUGCAGGGCAGCUCUCUUCCUCUGGAUUUUCAUCAGCAUUAGCUGCAGAGCCAGGACUGCUCUGCCUGCAUCUCGUACUUUUAACACAGGAGACUACUUCAGUUGCUUCAGUUGUGAUAGGAAAUUCUGUAUAUAUAAUGCAUCAGACCUCAAACUGUACCUCUUCUUGAAUAAAUCGUAUUACAAUGGAUCUGUUACAGACAGUAAAUUUUCCUAUAGAAGUUAUCCAGGACUUUUACCUUGGAUCUCUAUGUCUUUAAAACUGUCAGAUAUCAUGUUUACUGUUUAGGAGUUUUUAAGACUGUAGUACUUUUAAUGUCUGGAACAAUAACUAACUAUGCACAAACCAUGGGGGAGUUUCUGCAUUUCCUUUUUUCAAAAGCUGAUCUCACUCUUCAUGAUCUGACUCACAGGUCAAAAUAAGAUAACUGGUUAAAUUUUGAGGUUUUCCCCUACCCAUGCCUAUGUCCUGAAUAGCUGUCAUGCUCAUCUUACAAAAGAACAUGGACUUGCAAAUGGGAUCCAGUCACGUAGGAAACUUCAACUAGGAAAUGUUAGAGAAGCAACAGGAGUCUUCUUCAUCAGAUGAGAUGAUGAGUGACUUUGCGAUUUCUUUAGUCUUAACAAUUUUAAGUAAUUUAAAAUUAUAGCAUUAUUUCCAAAAUACACAUAGAGAUGAGAUCCUUCUUUAAAAGAUCAGGAAGACUGGUAGGAUAAAGAGAGUAGUCCACUAGUUUGAGCCUUCUUGCACUGAAGGAAAUGGAAGUCGUGCCACAGAUUAUAGGAACAGUGUGGUUAUGUUUUCUGUCAUGAGUUCAUGAUUCAGUCCAUUGGUAUGAAAUAACAGAAAUUAUUAAAAAGGUUCCUCAGACUUCAGCCUUUGAAUGAACAUUGAUUUAUCUGUAUUUAUUUAUCUGUAUAAUGAACUUCAUUUAUCCAGCAACUUCAUUGGCAUUGCAUAAGUAGAUAAUCCAAGACCACCAGGUAAUUGCAGAACAUGUUAAAUCUCUAAGUUUGGUGAAGUAGAAAAUUGCAGUAAUCAGUAAUCAAUUAUUUUGAGCCACUUGCAUUUCCAACUUUGAAGACAUUAUAGAUAUAAUAAAAGAAUUCCCAAGUCCUGUGCUUAACA
rnacentral:lncRNA from 1 species